CUACGGGGUGCAGCAGUGGGGAAUAUUGCACAAUGGGCGCAAGCCUGAUGCAGCCAUGCCGCGUGUAUGAAGAAGGCCUUCGGGCUGUAAAGUACUUUCAGCGGGGAGGAAGGGAGUAAAGUUAAUACCUUUGCUCAUUGACGUUACCCGCAGAAGAAGCACCGGCUAACUCCGUGCCAGCAGCCGCGGUAAUACGGAGGGUGCAAGAGUUAAUCGGAAUUACUGGGCGUAAAGCGCACGCAGGCGGUUUGUUAAGUCAGAUGUGAAAUCCCCGGGCUCAACCUGGGAACUGCAUCUGAUACUGGCAAGCGUGAGUCUCGUAGAGGGGGGUAGAAUUCCAGGUGUAGCGGUGAAAUGCGUAGAGAUCUGGAGGAAUACCGGUGGCGAAGGCGGCCCCCUGGACGAAGACUGACGCUCAGGUGCGAAAGCGUGGGGAGCAAACAGGAUUAGAUACCCUGGUAGUC
rnacentral:rRNA from 1 species